rnacentral:misc_RNA from 1 species
UGGUUCUGGCAUCGAUGAAGAACGCAGCGAAAUGCGAUAAGUAAUGUGAAUUGCAGAAUUCAGUGAAUCAUCGAAUCUUUGAACGCACAUUGCGCCCCUUGGUAUUCCGAGGGGCAUGCCUGUUCGAGCGUCAUUACACCACUCAAGCCUCGCUUGGUAUUGGGCGCCGCGGCUUCCCCGCGCGCCUUAAAGUCUUUCCGGCUGAGCGGCUCGUCUCUAAGCGUUGUGGAAACUAUUCACGGUGAGAACGGGCGGCGGCGGCCGUCAAAUCUUUCUUUCAGGUUGACCUCGGAUCAGGUAGGGAUACCCGCUGA